UGAAAUAAGCCAUGAAGCCCCCCUGAUUUCUUCCUCUAUUCUUGCCAGCUGUGGUACUGCCUUGUGGUACACCACUUCCAGUUGGAGCUGAUGCUCUAGGAGGAGCAAAUGCUCUUGUUGGAGCUGAUGCUCUUGUUGGAGCUGAGGCUCUUGGAGUAGCUGAUGCUGUUGGAGGAGCUGAUGCUCUUGGAGUAGCUGAUGCUGUUGGAGUAGCUGAUGUUCUUGGAGUAGUUGAUGCUGUUGGAAAUAUGCCC
rnacentral:lncRNA from 1 species